UACGGAGGAUGCGAGCGUUAUCCGGAUUCAUUGGGUUUAAAGGGUGCGUAGGCGGUUUUUUAAGUCAGUGGUGAAAUCCUGCGGCUCAACCGUAGAACCGCCAUUGAUACUGAAGAACUUGAAUUUGGUUGAGGUAGGCGGAAUGAGUAGUGUAGCGGUGAAAUGCUUAGAUAUUACUCAGAACACCGAUUGCGAAGGCAGCUUACCAAGCCAACAUUGACGCUGAGGCACGAAAGCGUGGGGAGCGAACAGG
rnacentral:rRNA from 1 species